rnacentral:rRNA from 1 species
AACAAACGCUGGCGGCGUGCCUAAUACAUGCAAGUCGAACGGGGAAAGCUUUCGGGUGAGUACUAGUGGCGCACGGGUGAGUAACGCGUGGAUAAUCUGCCUUUGAGUGGGGGAUAACUAGUCGAAAGAUUAGCUAAUACCGCAUAAGACCACAGGAACUGAGGUUCUAGGGGUUAAAGGUUUUUCGCUCAUAGAUGAGUCCGCGUGAGAUUAGCUAGUUGGUGAGGUAACGGCUCACCAAGGCGACGAUCUCUAACUGGUCUGAGAGGAUGAUCAGUCACACUGGAACUGAGACACGGUCCAGACUCCUACGGGAGGCAGCAGUAGGGAAUAUUGCACAAUGGAGGAAACUCUGAUGCAGCGACGCCGCGUGAGUGAUGAAGGCCUUCGGGUCGUAAAGCUCUGUCGCAGGGGAAUAACACAAUGAAUGUACCCUGUAAGAAAGGAUCGGCUAACUUCGUGCCAGCCGCCGCAGUAA